rnacentral:rRNA from 1 species
GUGGCGAACGAGGUAAUAAUACAUAGGAACCUCCCCCAAAGUCGUGAAUAAUCCGUCAAAAGACGGACUAAUACACGAUGGUCUCGCAAGAGUAAAGUUUUAACGCUUUGGGAAUGGCCUGUGCGAUAUCAGCUAGUUGGUAGUGUAAUGGACUACCAAGGCUAUGACGUCUAGGGGAGGUGAGAGCCUGACCCCCACCGAUGGUACUGAGACACGGACCAUACACCUACGGGUGGCUGCAGUCAAGAAUCUUCCACAAUGGACGAAAGUCUGAUGGAGCGACGCCGCGUGAUUGAUGAACUCCCUCUGGGACGUAAAUAUCUUUUAUGAGGGAAGAAGUUUAUUGACUGUACCUCAUGAAUAAGAGGCUCCUAAUCUCGUGCCAGCAGGAGCGGUAAUACGAGAGCCUCGAGCGUUAUCCGGAAUUAUUGGGCGUAAAGGGUGCGUAGGUUGUUCUGUUAGUCUUUUGUCAAACCCCCGGGCUUAACCUGGGAUAUGCGGGAGAAACGGCAGAACUUGAAAGUAGGAGAGGUGUACGGAACUCGUGGUGUAG